CAGGGGGAUGCACAGUACUAUGUGGAGUAUGGGAGUGGCCCAGUUGAUCGUGGGUGAUGAUCAAGCAUGUCUAGUACCACUGGUGAGAAAUGCCUAAUUUAAUGCUUAAUGGGGAAAAUGUUCCUUCAAGGCAUCACCCACUCGAGACCACAUUCUGGGAUUUGGAGAAGUGUGGGUGCUGCAGGGUACUAACUCCACAGCUCCGAGUGCACUGGGCCCCUCCUGGAACAUAAUGUGGGGCUGCCAGUGGGCACCUUCCCUUUGGCACAGCCCUGCUGGAGCUCUGAGAAACUGGGUGGAUUGUGGCAUGUGAGAGAGUAAAGCUUGGGAGUAAACCUGCAGCAGUAAAAGGGCUAGCAGCUGAAGUAAAGUUUCUAGGAAUCCUCUGGCAAGCACCCUGCCAGGCCUUCCCCAGGCUGCAGAUGGACAGCAUCUGGUGUGGAGAAGUGUGCAGCCCCCUAUCUGAUGUGUAUGCAGAACUGUUGUGUGGAGCCUCACAGUGUUGCUCUUGAUCUCUGCUUGCUGUGUAUCAGUGAUCAUGAAGUGCUGGACAUCUCUGCCCUCCAGCAGCACCAAAGCUCCUCUUCAUCUCCUACAUCACAUAUUUGGACUGUUUGGUGAAAUUUGCACCACUGUGUCUUAGGGGACAUGGGACUAGGGGUGGAACCUGAUGGCAGGACCUCUCUGAUGGUCCUAGCUCCAAGGUGACUGUUAUCUUACAUUUGUUUUCACAAUCAGUAUUUGUUUUAUUACUCUUGUAUUGUUAAUUUUAGUAAUUGUUUUUUGUAAAGUAAUGUUUCUAAUAGCCAAAAAUAUUUACUGGUAUAAUCUGCAACUUAUUGUAUCUGUUAGAAAGGUCAACUGUGUGUGGAUCAAGGGGUGGAAGUUAGUUAUCCUGGCCGGAAGAUCAUUGUACAUCGAGGAGUUAGUGAUCCACAAAACAGCUGACCUGGGAUGGGCUAAGCCUGUGCUGUGCUGUACAGUGCUGCACAUACAGCCUGUGUGCCUUACUGGAGACUCAUCCAGUGCUGCACAGCUCAGGGCUCCCAGCAUCUGGAGGGAUGUAAAAUUGCCUACACUAUCCUCUUUUUUAUUACAGUGUUAGCUACAAUAAAUGUCAUUUGAAGCGAUA